UCGCAGCCCGGCUUGAGCGGAAAUCCUUUUUGUGGAGCAAAGCGGAACAAAAAGAUUGGGAGCGGAAGACGGAUUAAGC
rnacentral:misc_RNA from 1 species